GACGAACGCUGGCGGCGUGCUUAACACAUGCAAGUCGAACGGAAGGGCCCUGCUUUUGUGGGGUGCUCGAGUGGCGAACGGGUGAGUAACACGUGAGUAGCCUGCCCUUGACUUUGGGAUAACUUCAGGAAACUGGGGCUAAUACCGGAUAGGAGCUCCUGCUGCAUGGUGGGGGUUGGAAAGUUUCGGCGGUUGGGGAUGGACUCGCGGCUUAUCAGCUUGUUGGUGGGGGAGUGGCUUACCAAGGCUUUGACGGGUAGCCGGCCUGAGAGGGUGACCGGCCACAUUGGGACUGGGAUACGGCCCAGACUCCUACGGGAGGCAGCAGUGGGGAAUAUUGCUCAAUGGGCGGAAGCCUGAUGCAGCAACGCCGCGUGCGGGAUGACGGCCUUCGGGUUGUAAACCGCUUUCGCCUGUGACGAAGCGUGAGUGACGGUAAUGGGUAAAGAAGCACCGGCUAACUACGUG
rnacentral:rRNA from 1 species